ACCUGGCUGGUUCAGUUGAUAGAGCAUGUGACUCUUGAUAUCAGGGUUGUGGGCUUGAGUCCCACGUUGGGUG
rnacentral:tRNA from 1 species